rnacentral:rRNA from 1 species
UACGGAAGGCAGCAGUGGGGAAUAUUGCACAAUGGGCGCAAGCCUGAUGCAGCCAUGCCGCGUGUAUGAAGAAAGGCCUUCGGGUUGUAAAGUACUUUUCAGCGGGGAGGAAGGCGGUGAAGUUAAUAGCUUCACCGAUUGACGUUACCCGCAGAAGAAGCACCGGCUAACUCCGUGCCAGCAGCCGCGGUAAUACGGAGGGUGCAAGCGUUAAUCGGAAUUACUGGGCGUAAAGCGCACGCAGGCGGUCUGUCAAGUCGGAUGUGAAAUCCCCCGGGCUUAACCUGGGAACUGCAUUCGAAACUGGCAGGCUAGAGUCUUGUAGAGGGGGUAGAAUUCCAGGUGUAGCGGUGAAAUGCGUAGAGAUCUGGAGGAAUACCGGUGGCGAAGGCGGCCCCUGGGACAAGACCUGACGCUCAGGGUGCGAAAGCGUCGGGGAGCAAA